rnacentral:rRNA from 1 species
UACGUAGGCAGCGAGCGUUGUUCGGAAUUACUGGGCGUAAAGAGCUCGUAGGUGGUUUGUCACGUUGUUCGUGAAAACCCACAGCUCAACUGUGGGCGUGCGAGCGAUACGGGCAGACUAGAGUACUGCAGGGGAGACUGGAAUUCCUGGUGUAGCGGUGGAAUGCGCAGAUAUCAGGAGGAACACCGGUGGCGAAGGCGGGUCUCUGGGCAGUAACUGACGCUGAGGAGCGAAAGCGUGGGGAGCGAACAGG